GACUGCACUGGCAGCUGCCGGCGCUGGCCUGUCUCACCCAGCGACAGCGCGGUGAUGUCACAGUGGUGUCACAGUGCUGCGGCCAGCACAGCCCUGGGACAUCACAGCCCUGCCUGACGCCAGCGCUCUGCCCUUUGUGCCAUCACAGCCCUGCCUCAGCCCCGCCCUCCGCAGUGCCCCAGGAGGGGUAAGGGGGCUCCCUAUGGGCACUUGCCAGCUCUCUGGAGCAGAGUGGGUGGAAGAUUCUUCUUUCAGAAGGACACAGGGAUGAGGAGGGGAAUGCUGAUGGUCUCACCUCCUUGCUGGCAGAGCAUGGGACAUGGAUUGUCCAAUGUGACACUGCAACUCCUUGAGGAGGGCAAGCCCUGCUCAGUAACAUCCAAGCCAUCUGUGUGCUGUCUACCACAUUCCCGUCCUGAAUCCAAACCCAGCUCUUUGCCGCUCCCUGGGAAGAAAAUGGAUCCUAUCCCAUUGAAAACCAGUACAUCAGCCCAUUCUUCAGCCAGCACACCCUGUCUCUCUUUGUCUCACACCUGGACACCUGCUCCAGAUGUAUUCUGCGAGGGACAGGAUCAAAACUCCACUUAAAAUCCUGAAAUAGAACCUGCAUUGCCUUCCCAUCAUCCAUGAGACGGGUGACCUUAUGUUAGGGAACCAGUGAGUGGGAGCCAGGGUGCGCUUGAGUUUCGGGAAUGCCGCAUCUCCUCGUCUCCUCAUUUCCCAGGCAGACCCUGCCACGAGGGCGUGGCCGAAGCGGCCCGAGGAUCCGGGCAUUCUUAGGAGAAUGCUGGGCAAGGGCCACAGGUCGGUGACUGCAGGAAAUUGCCAGCAGGGGAGGCAGCCUUCCUUCGUACCUGAUGUGGAUUCCCUUCCCCGGACAUCCUAGAGAUUUUUUUAGGAUUGGUGACUGAUAAACACAAUGUGUUUUGAUGGAUGGUUUUAGUUAGUGGUGCUUGUUUUGUUUUGGUUGUGGAACUAUUUAUCUUGGGGUUUUUUUGUGAGUAUUUUAAAUAAGGUUUGACACAGUGAGUAGGACUGUCAUGUAGUUUAUUUUUUGUGAAAACAUAAGUAUACCUUUAGGUUAUGAAAUUGACAGGACUACUUUAUUGACUACUUACCAAGUCUUUUUUAGGAGUAAAUUUUUGUAAGUCUGAUUUUGAAAUCAAAGAAGAAAAAUGAGAAGACGAAGGAGGUAGAGAAGUUAUCUCCUUCUAGGAUAGAAAGGGUUUAACAUAGAAACUGCUUUGUCUAAUGUUGCGUGGGGCAUUUCCGUGCGACAGCCGGGCCGCCCGCGGGGCUCGGCAGCAGGAGAGCCCCGAGCCGGGCAGGGCGGGGCGCCGGGGCGGGCUCGGGGUGGAGCCGGGGCUCUGUGAGGCUCCCCCUCCUGUCCCUCUCUCUGCCCCUCUUUCCUCCUCCCCGUAUUCCUCUUCUUUCUCUCUUUCCCGCAUUUCCCACUCUCCCCAAAGCAGCUCCGUUCCCUCCCUUUCCCGCUACCCUUCCUUCCUCUUCCCCGUAUUCCUGUUCUUUGACCCCCAGACCGUCCCCUCCUCUCCCUCCCAAACCCGACCUCCCACUGCCCUCACUCCGUCCUGUCCCUGCCCCGCUACUCCGUUCUAUUCCCCCUCUCUCCCUCCUCUGUCCACCGUCCCUCUUCCUUCCCUGCCGGCCUUUUCCUUCCCUUCCCGCUUUCCUCCGCAGCCCGACCUCCCUCCCACCCUUCCGCAUGCCCCGCUCUCCCUCCUCUCUUCCCGCCUAAAACCUGGCAAGUGUUUCGUUUUUAUAGGUAUUGGUAAAGAAUAGGUAUCUAUGGCUAAAUUCAUUUGGAAAGAAGCCCUCUCUCUAUCCAUUCAUUUGUAUCCAGGAAUGUAGGAAAUUCUGACUAGUGCUGAACCAAGCAAGUGCCCUGAAACCAUCGGAGCAGCUGCAGGGGCUGAAGGGAACAGGAAGGGCUCUCCGGCACCUUUUGCCUCCGUUCUCUGCCAUUCUCCGUCGCAGUCCCGGAAGAGGCGUCUGUCAUGCAGCCUGCCAAAAUGAAGACCUGUAAAAUCCUAGCUCUGCCUUUUGUUUAAGGUGUUUUUACUUCAUAUUUAUGUCAUCACAGAAAGCAAGGAAAGAAGAAAUGUGACUGGUUCCCACUAUUGCUCCGUGCAGGCACUUUUAAAGGCUGCUGUACUUAUGUUCUCUUUUUCCACUCCAAGCUUGACUUUCCCCCUCCUUUUUCGAGGUCUGCCGCUUUGGGUGUCCCAAGGAGGGCAGGGUUCCUCAGCAGGGGUCUUAGGAGUUGGUGCUGAUUCUGCUUUUUCCAAAGGUGUAUCGAAGUGUGCUACCAAAAUGACUAUUUUCUCCACGGGAAAGCUUUCUCUCAAUGACAAUCAAUGCAUGUAUGUGUUUUAACCGUGUAACCAGAUGGAUUAAGAAAAACCAACACCCGUA